GACGUAAAUCAUUCGUCCGAUUACUUGAGCAAAAGCGCAAUGAGAAUGGGAAUUUGGUCGACUUCUACAAAGAGACGCGUUGGUCGAAGAAAAAGAAUGCAUUUGUCACAGAUGCUACAGAAAGUACUUAUAAGGAGAUGCAAGGUAGGUUGGAUGGCCUAGGACCAGAGCAACGUAGUGAUGAGGCAGCAGCGACUGUCUUUAGGGAGGUUCUUGGCCAUCGACCUGGAUAUGCACGGGGACUUGGGGAAAUGGUCAUCCCCGAGUCAAGUAGACA